AUACUUAAAACGCUUAGAGAUGGGCAAAGUGCUAUCAAUUGUUUGAACAAACUUUGCCCAGUCUACGACAUUGACUCGAACCUGAUUGCUGAGUUUGUUCAUACGGUUGAUAGCACUUAGCCCAUCUCUAAACAGUUUACGUAU